GACCGGCUUAGUCGGCUGGCGCCGGCCGCGGGCUUCAAACCCAUCGGGGAACCAUAAACGGUCCACCCUCAGUUCGAUUCUGAAGCCGGCCU
rnacentral:tRNA from 1 species